UACGGGGGGGGCAAGCGUUGUUCGGAAUUACUGGGCGUAAAGGGCUCGUAGGCGGCCAACUAAGUCGGAUGUGAAAUCCCCAGGCUCAACCUGGGAACUGCAUCCGAUACUGGAUGGCUUGAAUUCGGGAGAGGGAUGCAGAAUUCCAGGUGUAGCGGUGAAAUGCGUAGAUAUCUGGAGGAAUACCGGUGGCGAAAGCGGCGCACUGGACCAUAACUGACGCUGAUGCGCGAAAGCUAGGGGAGCAAACAGG
rnacentral:rRNA from 1 species